AGAACGAACGCUGGCGGCAUGCCUAACACAUGCAAGUCGAACGAGACCUUCGGGUCUAGUGGCGCACGGGUGCGUAACGCGUGGGAAUCUGCCCUUGGGUUCGGAAUAACAGCGAGAAAUUGCUGCUAAUACCGGAUGAUGACGUAAGUCCAAAGAUUUAUCGCCCAAGGAUGAGCCCGCGUAGGAUUAGCUUGUUGGUGAGGUAAGAGCUCACCAAGGCGACGAUCCUUAGCUGGUCUGAGAGGAUGAUCAGCCACACUGGGACUGAGACACGGCCCAGACUCCUACGGGAGGCAGCAGUGGGAAUAUGGACAAUGGGCGAAAGCCUGAUCCAGCAAUGCCGCGUGAGUGAUGAAGGCCUUAGGGUGUAAAGCUCUUUUACCCGGAUGAUAAUGACAAGUACCGGAGAAUAAGCUCCGGACUAACUCCGUAGCCAGCAGCCGAC
rnacentral:rRNA from 1 species